AACGAACGCUGGCGGCAUGCCUAACACAUGCAAGUCGAACGAGACCUUCGGGUCUAGUGGCGCACGGGUGCGUAACGCGUGGGAACCUGCCCUUAGGUUCGGAAUAACUCCCCGAAAGGGGUGCUAAUACCGGAUAAUGUCUUCGGACCAAAGAUUUAUCGCCUUUGGAUGGGCCCGCGUUGGAUUAGCUAGUUGGUAGGGUAAAAGCCUACCAAGGCGACGAUCCAUAGCUGGUCUGAGAGGAUGAUCAGCCACACUGGGACUGAGACACGGCCCAGACUCCUACGGGAGGAAGCAGUGGGGAAUAUGGGACAAUGGGCGAAAGCCUGAUCCAGCAAUGCCGCGUGAGUGAUGAAGGCCUUAGGGUUGUAAAGCUCUUUUACCCGGGAUGAUAAGGACAGUACCGGGAGAAUAAGCUCCGGCUAACUCCGU
rnacentral:rRNA from 1 species